AAGCCAGGCUGAGGGAGAAACUCAGGCUGGUUUCGUCUAGGCCAUGUGGUCUGGUGCCCUCCUACUGUUAUCUCCAGCCAGCUGAAGGAAUAGUGGCCAGAGAAGCUGCUCUGCUCCAGCAUGGUUGCUGAUGGAAUUCCUGUGCCACAUGCAUCACUGAGGAGCAGCACAGAGCUGGAAAAGGGCUCCAGGAUAAGGGAUCUCUGGCCCUCACUGGCCACCGAAGAACUAUUGUGGAGCUCUGGAGAUACCAGCACCAUCAGUGCAAGGGCCAGCUUGCGGAAGAAGGAAUUGUGGCUCUUCCUGCCUGCAAAGUAUGCCUGCUUGGAAAGUCCAUCUACAAAUCCUGAAGAGCCUGUUUAUGUUACUUGAUGUGGUCACCUGAGUUGAGGAGCAGUGUGGAGCUACUGCAUCCAACAAAGCAUCAAGAGAUGCUGUCACAACCCUACACACAGUCUUCCUUGAACUCCAGAGUGCCAGUUCACUUCUGAUCUAUUGUUCAGUGAAGAGGUUUGUCCUUAGGGGGAAAUGUUUACUCCAAGAGCUAGGGCGAUUUAGUAUUUGAUUAUCAGCCUAGGAGAAAUUAGUCAAAUAAGGCUUUGGCUUACUGAACACUUAUGUGUAUGUUUAACCUUCCAUUCCUGAAGAGUCCUUUAGAUUUCAAAGUGCAAUAAAAUAAAGUGUGCCAGCAGAAGUCUUAUGGGGACUAGGGACUAUGAGAGUCAUAUUUAUUCUCAAAGCAGCAUUGACUGGGUUUAUUCAGAAAGCUUUCCUCAAGCUAGCUCUGCUUGUCCUGUUCAGUGUCCAUCUCCUUAGCUUUGUUGCAAUCCCAGCCUCCAUUCAUGUGCCUGUUCCCUCAGAAAGGAGAGAAGGAACAGUUUAGCAAGAAGUUUAGGAUAAACAUAAAAAUAAAUUAUUUGUGUGACUUUUGUGUCUGUUGAGAUCCCUUUUAAGCAGGUAACAGAUGAUAAAUCAUUCCUUCUUAUUGUGUUCUAGUCUUAAAAGGGCUGGGCCUGAAAUUACUGGGAGAUCUGGUGUUCAAGAGAAACCAGAUAAAGUUAGUGAAAAUACCCUCCUUAUGCAUUCAUUUGUCAUUUCACAGUGUUCCAUACUGACUAAGUCCAUGUCCUUGGGCAACCAAGUUGUCAGAGUGGUACAGAAACCACCAUAGUUAUCCUUCUCUGCAGUCUGUCUGAGGUCUCUCUUUAUAUAUAAAUACUGUUGUGUGCUAGUUAAAGUAUGGUUAUGAAACUUUCACAUUUCCCAAAAAGUUGAUGGAUAAGCAGGUUCUUAUGAAGCCCAGCAAAUAACAUACCACCUACUGUGAGUGUCCUAGCGAUUAGCCUUACUGCUAUUUCUGGCUGCCUAAAAUCAACUUGAACACUGAAACUUACUAAUUUGUUGG
rnacentral:lncRNA from 7 species